UCCGCCAGAAAAUUACGGGCAAAAGCCUAAAACUCAAAAGACUUGACGGUGUCCCAAUCUACCUAGAGGAGCCUGUUCCAUAAUCGACAACCCACGAUAAACCAAACCACUUUUUGAACUUAAUCAGCCUAUAUACCGCCGUCGUCAGCUCACCUCUUAAAAGAAAUUAAGCGAGCUAAAUAAUAUUAUAUUAAUAAGUCAGGUCAAGGUGUAGCACAUAAAAUGGAGAAAAUGGGCUACAUUAUUUACCAUAAAUAAUACGGACUACCCAAUGAAAACAAAUACAAAGGUGGAUUUAGUAGUAAUUUAAAUAAGAAUAUUUAAAUUAA
rnacentral:rRNA from 1 species